UACGUAGGGGGCUAGCGUUGUCCGGAUUUAUUGGGCGUAAAGAGCGUGUAGGCGGCCAGGCAGGUCCGUUGUGAAAACUGGAGGCUUAACCUCCAGACGUCGACGGAAACCGCGCGGCUAGAGUCCGGAAGAGGAGAGUGGAAUUCCUGGUGUAGCGGUGAAAUGCGCAGAUAUCAGGAAGAACACCAAUGGCGAAGGCAGCUCUCUGGGACGGUACUGACGCUGAGACGCGAAAGCGUGGGGAGCGAACAGG
rnacentral:rRNA from 1 species